rnacentral:rRNA from 1 species
UGGUGGAGCGAUCUGUCUGGUUAAUUCCGUUAACGAACGAGACCUCAGCCUGCUAAAUAGCUGUAAGGAAUUUACGUUCUUUCACAGCUUCUUAGAGGGACUUUCGGUGUGCAUCCGAAGGAAGUUUGAGGCAAUAACA